GACGAACGCUGGCGGCGUGCGUAACACAUGCAAGUCGAACGGUAAGGCCCUUCGGGGUACACGAGUGGCGAACGGGUGAGUAACACGUGGGUGAUCUGCCCUGCACUUCGGGAUAAGCCUGGGAAACUGGGUCUAAUACCGGAUAGGACCACUGCCUGCAUGGGUGGUGGUGGAAAGCUUUUGCGGUGUGGGAUGGGCCCGGGGCCUAUCAGCUUGUUGGUGGGGUGAUGGCCUACCAAGGCGACGACGGGUAGCCGGCCUGAGAGGGUGACCGGCCACACUGGGACUGAGAUACGGCCCAGACUCCUACGGGAGGCAGCAGUGGGGAAUAUUGCACAAUGGGCGCAAGCCUGAUGCAGCGACGCCGCGUGAGGGAUGACGGCCUUCGGGUUGUAAACCUCUUUCAGCACCGACGAAGCGCAAGUGACGGUAGGCGCAGAAGAAGGACCGGCCAACUACGUGCCAGCAGCCGCCGCAG
rnacentral:rRNA from 1 species